AGGGUUUGAUCAUGGCUCAGAACGUACGCUGGCGGCACGCCUAAUACAUGCAAGUCGAACGAAGUAGCAAUACUUAGUGGCAGACGGGUGAGUAACAUGUAGGUAUCUUCCCUUUGGUGAGGAAUAACACGAGGAAACUUGUGCUAAUACCUCAUAAGUCUUUACGGAGAAAGCUUUAUGCGCCAUUGGAUGAGCCUGCACUUGAUUAGUUUGUUGGUGGGGUAAUGGCUUACCAAGACAAUGAUCAAUAGCUGAUUUGAGAGGAUGAUCAGCCACAUUGGGACUGAGACACGGCCCAAACUCCUACGGGAGGCAGCAGUAGGGAAUCUUGCACAAUGGGGGAAACCCUGAUGCAGCGAUGCCGCGUGAGUGAAGAAGGCCUUUGGGUUGUAAAGCUCUUUCGUCGGGGAAGAAAAUGACUGUACCCGAAUAAGAAGGUCCGGCUAACUUCGUGCCAGCAGCCGCGGUAAUACGAAGGGACCUAGCGUAGUUCGGAAUUACUGGGCUUAAAGAGUUCGUAGGUGGUUAAAAAAGUUGGUGGUGAAAUCCCAGAGCUUAACUCUGGAACUGCCAUCAAAACUUUUUAGCUAGAGUAUGAUAGAGGAAAGCAGAAUUUCUAGUGUAGAGGUGAAAUUCGUAGAUAUUAGAAAGAAUACCAAUUGCGAAGGCAGCUUUCUGGAUCAUUACUGACGCUGAGGAACGAAAGCAUGGGUAGCGAAGAGGAUUAGAUACCCUCGUAGUCCAUGCCGUAAACGAUGUGUGUUAGACGUUGGAAAUUUAUUUUCAGUGUCGCAGCGAAAGCAAUAAACACACCGCCUGGGGAGUACGACCGCAAGGUUAAAACUCAAAUGAAUUGACGGGGACCCGCACAAGUAGUGGAGCAUGUGGUUUAAUUCGAAGAUACGCGCAGAACCUUACCAACACUUGACAUGUUCGUCGCGACUUUAAGAGAUUAAAGUUUUCGGUUCGGCCGGACGAAACACAGGUGCUGCAUGGCUGUCGUCAGCUCGUGUCGUGAGAUGUUGGGUUAAGUCCCGCAACGAGCGCAACCCUCACUUUUAGUUGCCAUCAUUUAGUUGGGCACUCUGAAAGAACUGCCAGUGAUAAGCUGGAGGAAGGUGGGGAUGACGUCAAGUCCUCAUGGCCCUUACGUGUUGGGCUACACACGUGCUACAAUGGCAUUUACAAUAGGAAGCAAGACGGCGACGUUAAGCAAAUCCUAAAAAAAUGCCUCAGUUCGGAUUGUACUCUGCAACUCGAGUACAUGAAGCUGGAAUUACUAGUAAUCGCGGAUCAGCGCGCCGCGGUGAAUACGUUCCCGGGUCUUGUACACACCGCCCGUCACACCAUGGGAGUUGGUUCUACCUUAAGGCAAAGGUUAAAAACUUUGACCACGGUAUAGUCAGCGACUGGGGUGAAGUCAUAACAAGGUAACCGUA
rnacentral:rRNA from 1 species